rnacentral:miRNA from 1 species
GUGAACACAGCUGGUGGUAUC